AAACGUAGGGGACAAGCGUUAUCCGGAUUUACUGGGCGUAAAGCGCACGUAGGCGGUGAGGUAAGUUGGCCGUGAAAGCUCCCGGCUUAACUGGGAGAGGUCGGACAAAACUGCCCCACUUGAGGCUGAGAGAGGAGAGCGGAAUUCCCGGUGUAGUGGUGGAAUGCGUAGAUAUCGGGAGGAACACCAGUGGCGAAGGCGGCUCUCUGGCUCAGAACUGACGCUGAGGUGCGAAAGCGUGGGGAGCGAACGGGAUUAGAUACCCCGGUAGUCCACGCUGUAAACGAUGGAUACCAGGUGUAGGGGGUCAUUAACCCCCCCUGUGCCGCAGCCAACGCGUUAAGUAUCCCGCCUGGGGACUACGGCCGCAAGGUUAAA
rnacentral:rRNA from 1 species